rnacentral:misc_RNA from 1 species
AAGUCGUAACAAGGUUUCCGUAGGUGAACCUGCGGAAGGAUCAUUCAUAACGAGUGUUUAUGGCACUCUAACAAUCCAUACCCACCUUGUGUGCAGCGUUAAGAGUCUAUGUGUCUCUCUCUCAGAGGGCACGUGAUUUCUUCUAAUCAAUCUACCUUAAACAAGUUUGUCUGAAGCAUUGUAUCAUGAAUAAACAUAAUUCAAAAUACAACUUUCAACAACGGAUCUCUUGGCUCUC